CUCUCAUUGUGAUAUAUAAUAAUCUGAAUUGUUAAGGCAAACAUGUCUGUUAAACUAUGCACUACAAAAAAAUAAAUAAAAAAAAAGUUAAAAAAAAUUCAUCAAAUUUGACCUGUUUUCAGAUAAAACGGGAUAGGCCCAUUUUUGCAAGCCAAAAUUUCGAGGCAUCCCUAAUCCGUUUCUUAGCAGGUCUUAAAAUUAGGUAAAUACAACCUCAGGUGAACAACAACAUUUGACAUAUUACACGGUCACGAUUUAAAAAAAAAUAAAUAAAGCAAAUAUGAAGAAUCCAUGAGUGAAAAACGAAGUGCUUCGGUAGAAAUUAAGAGGCGAAGUAGUACACCGGUGCUGCUAAACAAAUGCCCUUGAAGCCAGGUGUGAAAAAUGAAGUACACUAUAUGAUUGAAUAGCUUGUAGAACUACCUUAAAGGGACACUAUAGCGGUGACUAGGGCCCCGUUCCGUGGCGAAUAAAUGGUUAACUAACCAUUUAUUUGCUUACCUUAAUCCAGCGCCAUUGCUCACUCGGCGUUUGUGAACUCUCCUCCUCCAUCGACGUCAGCUUCCGAGUGGAGCUGAAUGCGCGGCCAGAGGAUCGCGUGCAUUCAAACCCAUCCAUAGGAAACCAUUACUCAAUGCUUUCCUACGGGGAUCUUUUUUGACGCUGGACUCCGUGAGGACUUCCAGCAUCAAAUAAGUGCGAUUUACUCAGUGUAAAUCGCGGAAGGGCCUCUAGUGGCCACUAGAGGCUGGAUUAACCCUGCAGUGUAAACAUAGCAGUUUCUCUGGUUAAAAACUAGGGGGACCUGGCACACAGUACACUUCAUUGAGCUGAAGUGGUCUAGGUGC